rnacentral:misc_RNA from 1 species
GAUGAAGAACGCAGCGAAAUGCGAUAAGUAAUGUGAAUUGCAGAAUUCAGUGAAUCAUCGAAUCUUUGAACGCACAUUGCGCCCCCUGGUAUUCCGGGGGGCAUGCCUGUCCGAGCGUCAUUACAACCCUCAAGCUCAGCUUGGUAUUGGGCCCCGCCGCUCCGGCGGGCCCUAAAGUCAGUGGCGGUGCCGUCCGGCUCCGAGCGUAGUAAUUCUUCUCGCUCUGGAGGCCCGGUCGUGUGCUCGCCAGCAACCCCCAAUUUUUUUCAGGUUGACCUCGGAUCAGGUAGGGAUACCCGCUGAACUUAAGCAUAUCAAUAAGCGGAGGA